AUGAUGCAUUCGUUUUGUGGUUUUUUUUUAUACCUUUUCUCCCUGAAUGUAAUUGUCCUAGGAUGUUUGAUCACCUACCUAAUGGUUGGUGACACCGUGAUUCAUUCUUGGACUAUAAUGAACACGCAAGAAAAAUUGCUGUAGCAGUAAACCCUUUGAAUUGCAAUUAAGUGUGUUUACUGUGCAAAGAAUGAGAUGGGGGAAAAUAAACAGGAAUAAAUAUGGCUAUUAUUUAUUUGCCAACUGUAUUAUGGCUGUUUUGAAAUAUUCAGAAAUUGGCUAGAAAACUGGAGUUUUCAGCAUUAAUAGAGCUCCUCUUUAGUCUUUUCCGUUUUCUAAAGAAAAGUGAGUUUUGUCAACCUCUAAAAUCACUUCCAUUUUUUUUGCUAAUAAAUGACCUUGGAAUUGAAAUGGGUUUCCAGGGAAGAGUAUUUUGGAGGAAAUGGAGCAAAUGAAAAAAAAAAAAAAUCAUUUAAGAUGUAAAACGUUUUGGUUGCUGUAACUGCAAAAUCUUGUAAUAUGAAUGAUUAGCUGAUAGCAUGUUCCUUACUAAGUCAGUGAUGCAAUUCUGCUCACAACAGAUCUGCACACAUAAUCUAAACUUGCCUUAGUAGUAAUGUGCUUUUUUUUUAAUAUGUAACUAGCCGACAGAAGUUUCAGAUGGGUGGAAAUAUUUAUGCACAAUUUAACACUAGGAAUUUCUCUGCUAAUCAUCAGACAAACUUCAAUUCAUGUCAUGUCAUGACCUAACACAGUUUUAAUAUAAUUUGUUUGUUCGUUUCAUCACUGGAGUGAGGCACAUUGUUUCACUGGAAAACUGGUAAAAAUUUUCAGUAGCCUAUGAUGCUUGUAGUUCUGACUUUGAAAACAGCUUGUGAAGUAAAAAACUUAAGAGUAUUUAUACAAUAAAUGUGCAGUAUGGCAUGCCCAAAUAAUUACAAUUUAAUUCUAUUAAACAAUGUAUAUUUAAAUAACUAAAUUUUGUUUUCAAAAUGUUAUAGUUUUACUGCACUUAUAUUUGAGUAAGUAGUUCAACUUUCCUAUUUACAUAAACUGAAAAAAAAAAAUUAUCCAGUGCACUGAUAGAAGUAGGGGAAGUAGAACGCUCAUAUAUAGAAAACCACUCUUGAACUUAGCCUCUUUAUUUCACUUCUUUUUCCUUCCUGUUUUUUAAAGUUCAGAAGAGAACAGGGUUAAUGGAGUUUUCAGCAUAAGUUGUUGUAAGUUGGUUUGGUUUUGUUCAAGGGUUUUUUUUAUUACUUAUCAUUCUAAGUGUUUUUUACAAGAAUGGUCUUCUGAGAUCUUUCAUAAAUUGCUGUGAACUACAGUGAGGUUUAAGAUAGUUUAAUCACCACUUAACAAAAGUUAUUUUCCUUUCAUAUAUAUGCGUGGGUUGUGUAUAUAAUGCACUGUAUGAUGUUGAUUUUCCCUGGAAUAGCUAAGUUCCUUAAAGCUAAUUUCUUAAGAACUGAGAAGGUAGCAUCAACACUGUAAGCCAAAAGCUGUACUCUCUUAUGGUUAACCAUUAAUAUCCUGAUGUAGGCAGGAUAUUCUGUCAUGGGAUUUCUUUGCAGUGGCUUGUCUGUUUGUAAACUCUUGUCUGAGAGUUUGUAAUACCAUCUUUAAAAUGAAGAAAUUGAAUCCUUUUUUAGUGAAAUCAACUUAACACUGUUUAUAGAAGUUUUCCAGAUAACUACAUUGGAAUACUGGUUGGGUUUUUUUUUAUUUGUUUUUCUUCAUUGUUUAUUGUUUAGGGAGCAUUUUUCCACUCUCAGUUCUUCCAGUACAAGCUUAACUUUCUGCUAGCCAAAAUAAGUUACUGCCCUGACAGAUGUAAGUUCUGUGCAUUGUCUGUGUGGAUGCCUCCUAACAUAAAGGUGUAAACACAUCACAAUUGAAAGUGUGACUGUUCACACUGUUUAUUUUGAAUUCUUAAUGAGUCUCACUCUAAUGGAGUCGUAAAGGGCUUUGUAAAGGACUUCUUUACCAGUCUGUAGCAAUUUUUGGCUCUUCCAUUAGCCCCAUGAGACCCUGAAGUUGGAUGCUGAAGCCAUAGGUUGACUGUCAUGUAUGAGACUGAAAACAGUACAACUUCAAGCCUCCUGGAAAAAUAAGAGAUGCUUAUUUUGACUUUGCAAAUAAAAUACAAGGGAGACAGAUCCAAAAUGCAAGACAGAAGGGAGACUUCAAGUAUGUCUUAGUAUGUCUUUCUGUAUUUGCUGGAUUUGGAUGUGGAUGUUAUACUUCUUGCGAGACAAGAAAGAAGAGUGGAUUCCUCUUCCUACUUCCACAAGUGACAGUGGACAUCCUCCAGUUCUUUACAAAUGCUCCAAUAGGAUGAAGUAACAAGAGAUGUGAAUGUUGAAGGACCCAUUUUCAGCUAUAAUCUGUUUAAAACCAGUCAUCUCCAUGAAGAAUAACUGUGGUUUUCCAGUUGCCUUGACUGGGACUUCUUUUUAAUUUUUUCAACUGAACCUCUGCACCUGCUGAAAGACUCUGAUAAGGAGAAUAAAUGAAAAGAAGACAUUUUUAUCUACUGUAGCUUUGAGUCUGUUUCUUACAAAAUUAUAUUUGAAGGACAGUAUACUAAGGAGAGACAAAAGACCUGAAAGAAUUUCAGCAGAACAUUGUGUAACAUGUUGCCAUCAAAAAAAUUAAAAAGAACAAAGCAUGCAAAAACCUUUGUUACUUAGGAGCAAUUCUUUUUAUUAGGUGUCUAGACACAAUGCUAGCAGGCACUUGCUGUGUGAGCUGCAGAAUCCUUCCCACUGGAAAAUGGUGGAUUUCACUGUUCUGCUGUACAUGUGUUAACCUUGGGGCUUUGAGACCAAUGUCCUUAUUGUAUAUUAAAAAAAUAGUAAAAUAGCAAUAAUGGAAAAACUAACUUCUUAAAAUCUUAAGAGAUGUCUUCAAAUCAGUGUUUUAAAAUGAGUUAGUUCAUUUAAACAAAUAUAGAAGCCUUAUACAUUGUGAAGUGUACUGCAUUGUGAAUGACUUGUAUUUAAAAAAUCUGCAAAACAGCAGUUUUGUUGUUUGUUUGUUUGUUUGCUUUUUAUUGAUUUUCUUUUGUGUGUGCUUGCAAAUUACAAAUUUCUAGAAAAUUCCUCUUAUUUUAUUCAAAGAAGUACUCAGUUUCUGUAGGGGUUUGGGUUUUUAGUUUUUGCUAUUUGUAACUUGGAUGCCAUGUAUUUAGAAAUAUCUACUUAAAUCUUUUGAUGAUAUCAGAGACUGUAAAGCUCUUAGUCACUCAGAACUAAAAGCAAAAGGUUGUAUCCACAUCCUUUGAAGCAGAUGGUUUUCUAUCUGUAUGCAACCUAAGAGCUAUGAUGAAGGAAGUUGAUGAGUUCAUUGUCAUUUUAGAUAUUUUUGUUUGCCUGUAGUGCAGUAUCUUAACAUAGAUGUUAAUUCAGUGGUUGAUUCUGGUUUUUAUUAUUCAUAUUUUUAAGAGAAAGUGAAAAUUGAAUUCAUUGUAAAAACAAGUUCUUUUUACAUCGUGUAAGUUGGUAUAAAAUUUCUAUAGUUAUGGAAGAUUAUGUCCAAAAUUGUAGUACUGCCAUGGUUUUGUAUAUGUAACGUAUUAAAACCCUGUUUUGUGCUUGGU